UCCCUAUCUGCUGUGGGCGUAGGAGAUUUGAGAGGAUCUGUCCCUAGUACGAGAGGACCGGGAUGGACGAACCGCUAGUGUUCCUGUUGUCACGCCAGUGGCAGUCGCAGGGUAGCUACGUUCGGAAAGGAUAACCGCUGAAAGCAUCUAAGCGGGAAGCCCACCUCAAGACUAGAUCUCCCUGGGAGCAAUCCCCUGAAGGUUCGUUGUAGACCACAACGUUGAUAGGCCGGCGGUGUAAGCACAGUAAUGUGUUCAGCUUACCGGUACUAAUUGACCGUGAGGCUUGACCAUAAAA
rnacentral:rRNA from 1 species